AACAACUCACCUGCCGAAUGAAUUAGCCCUGAAAAUGGAUGGCGCUUAAGCGGAUGACCGACACCAUGCCGUCUGAAUGAUAUAUUUUCAGAUGAGUAGGAGGACGUGGUGAUUGUAACGAAGUAUGUGUGCGAACACGUAUAGAACGAUCACUAGUGCAGAUCUUGGUGGUAGUAGCAAAUAUUCAAGCGAGAUCCUUGAAGGGCGAAGCGGGGAAGGGUUCCACGCUAACAUUGAUUGGGCGUGGGUGAGUCGUUCCUAAGCCGAGUGGCAAUUGCUAAGUAACGGCGAAAGGGAAGCAGGUUUACAUUCCUGCACACGGAUGUGGAGGUGGUGACACUUUAUUGAGGCGAACACAUUGGCGAUGGCGCUAGGCAGAGUUGUCUUUUCUGUUUAACCGUUUGUAUAUAUUGUGUGGAGUCCGAUUAUCGGGAGAAACACAUAUAUACGGGCAGAGCGCCGGGGCUUAUCCGGCGUCUAGCUCGCCAUCGACGAUCCUUGAAACUUUGCCUGCUGAAUUUUUAAUAUCCACGCCGUGGCGUACCGAUCACCGCAUCAGGUCCCCGAGGUGAACAGCCUCUGCUCAAUAUGAAAAAU
rnacentral:rRNA from 1 species